CGAGCUGUCACCUCCAGCCUCUCUCCCCUCGGCCGCCGCCGCCAGCAGCCAGAGCCGGACUCACUGACACGCCGCCGAGAGACACACACUGAGAGGGAGAUGAUUAUUAGUUGCGUUGAGUCAUCAGGCAAAAAUGCUCCUCCGGAUCAAUGUCCAGGAACUUAGAAGAAUUGGUGAUAUUAGGACUUCUGUACUUCUGGAAAAAAAAUGCAAAUGGUUAGGCAGGAUCUUUCCUGUCUGAUUCGUCACUAUUAUUAUAUCUGAUGAUGUGAAUGGUUGGAGCGAUUCAAUCUUAAGUCAUUAAUGAGCUAUUUUAUAAACUUCAAUGUUUGAAGAUCUUCAUUUACAUUUUGCAAAAGAUUACUUCGCUAACCUCGCAGGCUUGUGUCAACAGCAUGAUUCUGAGACUUGUGUUACACUUAGGAACAACACAGCCUUAUUGUUAAUCAGUUAAUAUUUUAUAAAGUGUAAAUAUUUUAUUAUGUUUUGAAGGGAAUAUUGAUUCUAAAUUAUUAAACCCCUGAGAAGGGCGAUUAAAUAAAGUAUACAAUUAAAUGUAUAUUGUGGUUAGUUUCCUUGCAGAUUCUGAACUCUUAAAAUUCAUUGAUUUUUAUUGUAGUUUCCUCUGGUCCAUUUUUUAUAGUGAUAAAAUCUAUUAUUUUGUUCAGAAGAGCUCAAAUUAUAUAAAAGUACAUGUAACAGUGAAAGUGGAAUGCUAUCAAUUAUUACCACAAAUGAGUUUUGAAUGUUUGUAUAUUUAUUUUUAGUAACACAUUUUACAAAUUUCAUUUGAUUCAAAAAAGAUUUUUUAAAAAAUGAGAAUUCUAGGAAGUUUUGUGAUGCAUAGUACAUUUUUCCUCUUGAGUUUGUCCCUAAUAAAGGCCUUUUCUGUUUCAAAUU